rnacentral:rRNA from 1 species
AUUGAACGCUGGCGGCAUGCCUUACACAUGCAAGUCGAACGGUAACGGGUCCUUCGGGAUGCCGACGAGUGGCGAACGGGUGAGUAAUAUAUCGGAACGUGCCCAGUAGUGGGGGAUAACUGCUCGAAAGAGCAGCUAAUACCGCAUACGACCUGAGGGUGAAAGGGGGGGAUCGCAAGACCUCUCGCUAUUGGAGCGGCCGAUAUCAGAUUAGCUAGUUGGUGGGGUAAAGGCCUACCAAGGCAACGAUCUGUAGUUGGUCUGAGAGGACGACCAGCCACACUGGGACUGAGACACGGCCCAGACUCCUACGGGAGGCAGCAGUGGGGAAUUUUGGACAAUGGGCGCAAGCCUGAUCCAGCAAUGCCGCGUGCAGGAAGAAGGCCUUCGGGUUGUAAACUGCUUUUGUCAGGGAAGAAAUCUUCUGGGCUAAUACCCCGGGAGGAUGACGGUACCUGAAGAAUAAGCACCGGCUAACUACGUGCCAGCAGCCGCGGUAAUACGUAGGGUGCGAGCGUUAAUCGGAAUUACUGGGCGUAAAGCGUGCGCAGGCGGCUUUGCAAGACAGAUGUGAAAUCCCCGGGCUCAACCUGGGAACUGCAUUUGUGACUGCAAGGCUAGAGUACGGCAGAGGGGGAUGGAAUUCCGCGUGCAGCAGUGAAAUGCGUAGAUAUGCGGAGGAACACCAAUGGCGAAGGCAAUCCCCUGGGCCUGUACUGACGCUCAUGCACGAAAGCGUGGGGAGCAAACAGGAUUAGAUACCCUGGUAGUCCACGCCCUAAACGAUGUCAACUGGUUGUUGGACGGCUUGCUGUUCAGUAACGAAGCUAACGCGUGAAGUUGACCGCCUGGGGAGUACGGCCGCAAGGUUGAGACUCAAAGGAAUUGACGGGUACCCGCACAAGCGGUGGAUGAUGUGGUUUAAUUCGAUGCAACGCGAAAAACCUUACCUACCCUUGACAUGUCAAGAAUUCUGCAGAGAUGUGGAAGUGCUCGAAAGAGAACUUGAACACAGGUGCUGCAUGGCCGUCGUCAGCUCGUGUCGUGAGAUGUUGGGUUAAGUCCCGCAACGAGCGCAACCCUUGUCAUUAGUUGCUACGCAAGAGCACUCUAAUGAGACUGCCGGUGACAAACCGGAGGAAGGUGGGGAUGACGUCAGGUCCUCAUGGCCCUUAUGGGUAGGGCUACACACGUCAUACAAUGGCCGGUACAGAGGGCUGCCAACCCGCGAGGGGGAGCCAAUCCCAGAAAACCGGUCGUAGUCCGGAUCGUAGUCUGCAACUCGACUGCGUGAAGUCGGAAUCGCUAGUAAUCGCGGAUCAGCUUGCCGCGGUGAAUACGUUCCCGGGUCU